rnacentral:pre_miRNA from 1 species
CAUAUACUCCCUCCGUCCCAAAUUACUCGUCGCUGAAAUGGAUGUAUCUAGAACUAAAAUACAUCUAGAUACAUCCAUACGUGCGACAAGUAAUUCGGAACGGAGGGAGUAUAAG